rnacentral:rRNA from 1 species
UACGGGGGGGGCAAGCGUUGUUCGGAAUUACUGGGCGUAAAGGGCGCGUAGGUGGCCAACUAAGUCAGACGUGAAAUCCCUCGGCUUAACCGGGGAACUGCGUCUGAUACUGGAUGGCUUGAGUUUGGGAGAGGGACGCGGAAUUCCAGGUGUAGCGGUGAAAUGCGUAGAUAUCUGGAGGAACACCUGUGGCGAAGGCGGCGUCCUGGACCAACACUGACACUGAGGAGCGAAAGCGUGGGGAGCAAACAGG